CAGCAGCCGCGGGAAAACGGAGGGGGCUAGCGUUGUUCGGAAUUACUGGGCGUAAAGCGCACGUAGGCGGCUUUGUAAGUUAGAGGUGAAAGCCCGGGGCUCAACCCCGGAAUUGCCUUUAAGACAGCAGAGCUAGCAGGUGAGAGAGGUGAGUGGAAUUCCGAGUGUAGAGGUGAAAUUCGUAGAUAUUCGGAAGAACACCAGUGGCGAAGGCGGCUCACUGGCUCAUACUGGACGCUGAGGUGCGAAAGCGUGGGGAGCAAACAGGAUUAGAUACCCCAGUAGUCCCUGUCUCUUAUAC
rnacentral:rRNA from 1 species